GGGUUCAUCACUCUCUCCUUCACAUACAAACUUUCCAUCUUUACCAAAAUAAUAGCAACCCUUGUACCCUGUGCAACAUGUGGUACAUCCGGUGGGAUAAAUUAACGAUUUUCCUUGUGAACGGGGACAUCUUGAAUAGGCAAUAUUUGGAUCACAAUUAAAGGUGCAAGCAUUUGGCCUUUUUGGAUCAGAUUCUCCUUCACAAAUAAAUUUUCCGAAAGAAUUAUAAUAAUUACAACCCUUAUAGCCUGAGCAACAAUUGAUGCAUAUGGGAUUUAGCGGACUUCCUUCUGAACGUGGGCAUAUCCCGAACCCAAGAUUACCACAUUCUCUAGUACAAGCCUUGGCAUCAACAUAUAGAAACAUUCCAAGAACAAUUAGUAGGUAAGCGACAAAAUUAACUUCCUUGUGAACAGCCAUGAUGGAUAAUUGAUUACUAGUACCUUGUCU
rnacentral:misc_RNA from 1 species